rnacentral:rRNA from 1 species
GACGAACGCUGGCGGCGUGCCUAAUACAUGCAAGUAGAACGCUGAAGGAGGAGCUUGCUCUUCUGGAUGAGUUGCGAACGGGUGAGUAACGCGUAGGUAACCUGCCUGGUAGCGGGGGAUAACUAUUGGAAACGAUAGCUAAUACCGCAUAACAACAGUUGUUGCAUGACAGCUGUUUAAAAGAUGCAAUUGCAUCACUACCAGAUGGACCUGCGUUGUAUUAGCUAGUUGGUGAGGUAACGGCUCACCAAGGCAACGAUACAUAGCCGACCUGAGAGGGUGAUCGGCCACACUGGGACUGAGACACGGCCCAGACUCCUACGGGAGGCAGCAGUAGGGAAUCUUCGGCAAUGGACGGAAGUCUGACCGAGCAACGCCGCGUGAGUGAAGAAGGUUUUCGGAUCGUAAAGCUCUGUUGUAAGAGAAGAACGAGUGUGAGAGUGGAAAGUUCACACUGUG